GGUUGUGGCUCAGUGGUAGAGCGUUUGCCUAGCAUGUGUGAGGCCCUGGGUUCGAUCCUCAGCACCA
rnacentral:tRNA from 1 species